rnacentral:rRNA from 1 species
GAUCCUGGCUCAGGAUGAACGCUAGCUACAGGCUAACACAUGCAAGUCGAGGGGCAGCGGGAAGAAAGCUUGCUUUCUUGCCGGCGACCGGCGCACGGGUGAGUAACGCGUAUCCAACCUUCCCCUUAGUAGGGCAUAGCCCGUAGAAAUGCGGAUUAAUACCCUAUGUUGUUCGAUGCGGACAUCUAACUUGGACCAAAGGUUUACCGCUAAGGGAUGGGGAUGCGUCCGAUUAGGCAGCAGGCGGGGUAACGGCCCACCUGGCCAACGAUCGGUAGGGGUUCUGAGAGGAAGGUCCCCCACAUUGGAACUGAGACACGGUCCAAACUCCUACGGGAGGCAGCAGUGAGGAAUAUUGGUCAAUGGGCGCGAGCCUGAACCAGCCAAGUAGCGUGCAGGAUGACGGCUCUAUGGGUUGUAAACUGCUUUUAUGCGGGGAUAAAGUGCGGCACGUGUGCCGUUUUGUAGGUACCGCAUGAAUAAGGACCGGCUAAUUCCGUGCCAGCAGCUGC